rnacentral:lncRNA from 1 species
GCACAACCAGCCAUCAUCAAGAUCAACAACUGUAAGUUUCAUCUCUCUUAACUACGACAUGACUAUGCCAAAUAAUACUCAUCUAGUGAAUUUUAUUAUUUGUAUCUUGCAGACAUGCACUAGAUCGAACAAGAUGCUAAAAUCUACUGCUAAGGGAAGAGCAAUUGGUGGAUCAGCUAGCAUGAAGGUGAAUGCAAAAGGGCAACUUUCACAAGCAAGUUCUAGUGUGACUGAGUGUGACGUCUGGCAACUGUGCCUGGAGGACUAAGCAUCAUAUUAUUGAUCAGUUCGCCUGGAAAUUAUGUUCAUUAUUGCUGUUGAACUGCGAUGCUUUUGUGAGAAUUCUGUACGGUUGAACUAUGUUGCUUUAAUCUGUACCUUUGAACCAUGUUCCUUUUGUGAGAAUUUUGUGCUGUGAAAUGGCAGACUAGUUUGCUGCUAUUGUUGAACUAUGUUAGCUAGCUGUUACAAUAUGCUGCGCUCUCAAAUAUUACAUCAGUGGAACCAAAAAGAAAUAGGAAUGGGACAUACACAAAUGACAUGCGCAUGUCAGAAAUAGAUAAUUCUCUACUCCCUCCGUUCCCAAUUAAUUGGCGCCGGCCAUUUUGCAAAAAAAAAAAACCUAUAUUAAUUUACGAAA